GGAUACCUGCCAGAUGUCAGUCUGAGCUCUCCUUUAUGAGGUGACUCUUUUCAUAUAUGGAGGUCGUGGAGCUACUUGAGGAGACAGUGUGUCAUUUAUAGGCGCUCAGGUGCUGAGCUAUGAGCUCCAUUGUUCCAUUCAGAGCUGCUGGGCAGGUAUGUUUAAGUCUGCUGCAGUGGAAACUUUAUA